AUGUACAAAGGUGCCCGCGGACGCCGCGGGAGAAUAGGGAAGCUGAGUGAAAAGCUCACACGGUCACGCCGCUGUAAAGGAGGAGCCGUAUCUUUGAAGGACCCUUAAAAGGUCCGGCCACUGGAGGAUUUCCGGGAAGGCUAAAGAUACGGCGCUGAUACCCGAGUCAGAAGACCUGCCUUGUACAG
rnacentral:ncRNA from 1 species